UGUGACACUUCCUCCUGCCUCUCAGCCUCUGGGUUAUUAAUAGCAGAUACAGGCGAAGCCAGAGACCCAUCAAGACAAGGGACUGACCAGAUAGAUCCUGAAUGUCCAUCAACACCAUCACAGCCACCUGCUUAAGUUCCACUCAGGAGCAACAGGACCAUCCCUCAUCAGUCUCAGAAAGGGCCCCAUGGGCUACUAUGAAACAAGCAGCCUCCUAAGCCACGUGCUUCCACCGCCAUGAUAUUCUGCUGCACCUUGGGCCUAUGACAAUGACCGUGGACUGGAACCUCUGAAACAGUGGACCCCGAAUAAAUCCUUUCUCCUUUAAGCCACGUCUCUUGAGCUUUAGUGCCUGAGGUGAAAGGAAGACAGCUCACACAGACACAGAUGGAACUUGACUCAGAUGAGCGAGCUGAGAGUGGGGUAUGCCCAGGAUCCCACACAGCAGGUGAAUAGAGCUGAGGACCAGACAGCUAAGACUUCUCCAUUCUCCGGGACCUGGCUUCUUCUUGCCUUCUAACCCUCCCUUCUGCUCCAUGACCUCCACACUGUCUCUGUGCCUUUGAAUGUAUA